GAUCCUGGCUCAGGAUGAACGCUAGCGACAGGCUUAACACAUGCAAGUCGAGGGGCAGCACGGUGUAGCAAUACACUGGUGGCGACCGGCGCACGGGUGAGUAACACGUGUGCAACCAACCCCGUACCGGGAGAUAACCCGCGGAAACGUGGACUAACAUCCCAUGAUACUCGAGAGCCGCAUGGCUCUCGAUUUAAAAUUCCGGUGGUACGGGACGGGCACGCGCGACAUUAGGUAGUUGGCGGGGUAACGG
rnacentral:rRNA from 1 species